rnacentral:misc_RNA from 1 species
AACUUCCACCUGGCUUACCUCCNUCAGUUAUGCGUCAUGACUUGUAUCGUCUUGAGCGUAUUGUGGGUUUCCUGUGUUGCAUACCUAAUAAUGGAAUCGUUUUGGUUGAUUGAAGUCCCUUUUCAUCACGUGUUGCCUUUGCGACUCAUGAUGAACCUCGAAGCGGUCUCUAUGUUCCACCAUGUUGAUGCUAGUGUCUUGAUGUUGUGGCCCAUUGAGUGUUGCUUGGUUUCGUGGAUACAGAACAUGAUUUGGGCAUAGGGUCACAUGUGACUCUUGUUUUGUCCUUUAUYAGUGUUCUCUAUAACGACGGUUCAUGCGCGCCUAGGCUCGUACCUGCGCGAUGUUCUUUGUCGAAGAGGAAUGCUACCUGGUUGAUCCUGCCAGUAGUCAUAUGCUUGUCUCAAAGAUUAAGCCAUGCAUGUGUAA